UACGUAGGGUGCGAGCGUUAAUCGGAAUUACUGGGCGUAAAGCGUGCGCAGGCGGUUCGUUGUGUCGGCGGUGAAAGCCCCGGGCUUAACCUGGGAAUGGCCGUCGAAACUGGCGAACUGGAGUGUGGCAGAGGGGGGUGGAAUUCCGCGUGUAGCAGUGAAAUGCGUAGAGAUGCGGAGGAACACCGAUGGCGAAGGCGGCCCCCUGGGCUGACACUGACGCUCAGGCACGAAAGCGUGGGGAGCAAACAGG
rnacentral:rRNA from 1 species